UGCAGGUACUUUGAGAAUCUUUCGCAG
rnacentral:sRNA from 1 species